rnacentral:rRNA from 1 species
AGCAGCCGCGGUAAUUCCAGCUCCAAUAGCGUAUAUUAAAGUUGCUGCAGUUAAAAAGCUCGUAGUUGAAUUUCGGGAUCAAUAUGUUGGUCGUGCCUCGGUACGUACUAGCUUAUUGGUUUCUCCCUUCUGACGAACCAUGAUGUCAUUUAUUUGGUGUUAUGGGAAAUCAGGACUGUUACUUUGAAAAAAUUAGAGUGUUUAAAGCAGGCUCACGCUUGAAUACAUUAGCAUGGAAUAAUGAAAUAGGACGUUUGAUUCUAUUUUGUUGGUUUCUAGGAUCGACGUAAUGAUUAAUAGGGAUAGUUGGGGGCAUUAGUAUUCAAUUGUCAGAGGUGAAAUUCUUGGAUUUAUUGAAGACUAACUACUGCGAAAGCAUUUGCCAAGGAUGUUUUCAUUAAUCAAGAACGAAAGUUAGGGGAUCGAAGACGAUCAGAUACCGUCGUAGUCUUAACCAUAAACUAUGCCGACUAGGGAUCGGAUGAUGUUAAUUUUUAAUGA